rnacentral:rRNA from 1 species
AGCGAACAGACGAGGAGCUUGCUUCUCUGACGUUAGCGGCGGACGGGUGAGUAACACGUGGAUAACCUACCUAUAAGACUGGGAUAACUUCGGGAAACCGGAGCUAAUACCGGAUAAUAUAUUGAACCGCAUGGUUCAAUAGUGAAAGACGGUUUUGCUGUCACUUAUAGAUGGAUCCGCGCCGCAUUAGCUAGUUGGUAAGGUAACGGCUUACCAAGGCAACGAUGCGUAGCCGACCUGAGAGGGUGAUCGGCCACACUGGAACUGAGACACGGUCCAGACUCCUACGGGAGGCAGCAGUAGGGAAUCUUCCGCAAUGGGCGAAAGCCUGACGGAGCAACGCCGCGUGAGUGAUGAAGGUCUUCGGAUCGUAAAACUCUGUUAUUAGGGAAGAACAAAUGUGUAAGUAACUAUGCACGUCUUGACGGUACCUAAUCAGAAAGCCACGGCUAACUACGUGCCAGCAGCCGCGGUAAUACGUAGGUGGCAAGCGUUAUCCGGAAUUAUUGGGCGUAAAGCGCGCGUAGGCGGUUUUUUAAGUCUGAUGUGAAAGCCCACGGCUCAACCGUGGAGGGUCAUUGGAAACUGGAAAACUUGAGUGCAGAAGAGGAAAGUGGAAUUCCAUGUGUAGCGGUGAAAUGCGCAGAGAUAUGGAGGAACACCAGUGGCGAAGGCGACUUUCUGGUCUGUAACUGACGCUGAUGUGCGAAAGCGUGGGGAUCAAACAGGAUUAGAUACCCUGGUAGUCCACGCCGUAAACGAUGA